ACGAACGCUGGCGGCGUGCUUCACACAUGCAAGUCGCACGCUGAAGCUCAGCUUUUGUUGGGUGGAUGAGUGGCGAACGGGUGAGUAACACGUGAGUAACCUGCCCCCUUCUUUGGGAUAACGCCCGGAAACGGGUGCUAAUACUGGAUAUUCACUGGUCUUCGCAUGGGGGUUGGUGGAAAGGGUUUUUCUGGUGGGGGAUGGGCUCGCGGCCUAUCAGCUUGUUGGUGGGGUGAUGGCCUACCAAGGCUUUGACGGGUAGCCGGCCUGAGAGGGUGACCGGUCACAUUGGGACUGAGAUACGGCCCAGACUCCGACGGGAGGCAGCAGUGGGGAAUAUUGCACAAUGGGCGCAAGCCUGAUGCAGCGACGCCGCGUGAGGGAUGGAGGCCUUCGGGUUGUGAACCUCUUUCGCUCAUGGUCAAGCCGCAACAAUGGUUGUGGUGAGGGUAGUGGGUAAAGAAGCGCCGGCUAACUACGUG
rnacentral:rRNA from 1 species